CUUUACUGCGCCGAAAUGUCAGUAUCGAUAUGACCCAGCUCUACUAGAAAAUACCAGCAGUCAUAUAAAGGGACAGAGCGCUUCAGAAGUAAAGUUAUUUGACGGUUAAAAACAACAACAACAACAACAACACGAAAUUAAUGGAAGGUAAAAUGUCAAAUGGCCUUUCCCCCCACCACACAGACGUUGUUCUGUUAAACGUACCAGUUAUCCGGCAGCAGUACCACUGGGACUGCGGUUUGGCAUGUUCGAGAAUGGUAUUAAAAUAUGUCCAUCCAGUGAGGGAAGAGGAGUUCCAGAGAGCCUGCUGUGAUCUGAAAUUGACAGAAAGCGUGUGGACUAUUGACCUCGCCUAUCUCAUGUGUCAGCUAGGAGUAAAACACUGUUUCUGCACACAAACAUUAGGAGUAGACAAGGGCUUUAAAAAUCAGUCAUUCUACAAAAAGCAUUUUGAUACUGAAGAAGACAGAGUAAAUGAACUCUUUCUGAAAGCAGAGAGCAGAGGCGUAGUGGUAAAAAAAUGCUCUGUAACUGUUCAGGAGAUCCAGGCUCAUCUGAACCAUGGACAUGUGGCCAUUGUGCUGGUAAACGCUGUUGUGUUAAUGUGCGAACUCUGCUCCACUUCAGUGAAGUACUGCUGCUUUCUACCUGUGAAUCAGAAGUGUUUCUGCAGUACACCUGAUUACCAAGGGCAUUUUGUGGUAGUGUGUGGAUUUAACCAUACUGCUGGCUGCAUCUUCUAUAACAACCCUGCUUACUCUGACCAGAGUUGGUGCUAGCCUGGAACUGGUUUUUCUGGCCCCAGAGCCAGUUCUUUGUCAGUGGAAACAGAAAACCCGGUUCCAAACUAAGCACUGGCCCCGAACCAGCCCUGGAACUGCUUUGGUGGAAAAGGGGCAACAGAGGUUUCGCAGGGCUCCUCCGACAGAGCGGGGUAAACUGCCCUAUACUGCACUGUAUCAUACAUCAGGAAGCCCUCUGCGCGAAGACACUGAACUUUAGCCACGUUAUGGAUUUAGUGACCAAAGUAACAAAUCUCAUCAGAGGAGGGAACAGGUCCCUUUUGUCACAGGAGGUUCAUUGCCUUUUUGGAUGAAGUGGACGCCGCGUAUGGGGAUUUACAAAUGCACGCUGAGAUCAGAUGGAUGAGUCGAAGGAAGUGUCUGGAGCGUUUUUUUGCACUGCGCUCUGAACUACCAGUGUUCUUGGAGAACAGUAUUAGUGGUGAUACAAGCACCUACUGCAGAAAACUCAGACACACAGUUUAUUUGCGACAUGGCCUUUCUGACAGACAUCACCUCACAUCUCAACCACCUUAACACACACUUGCAGGGGAGAGACCAAACUGUUUGCGAUCUGUAUGCGCACACAACCGCAUUCCAGCGUAAACUUGACCUGUUCAUAGAAGGAUUUUCUUCCCAUCGUCCAAAUUUGGCACACUUUCCCGCUUGUGAGGAGAUACGAAAAGAUAACCCCAGGUGCGAGAAACUACUUCAGAAGUAUAGGGCCGACAUCGAAAAAUUGCAGGAGCAGUUUAACGAUUGUUUCCAAGAUUUUCAUGUGAUGAAACCACGAAUUGCGCUAUUCACGGACCCUGUCUCUGCUGCUGCCAGCGAGCAACCAUCAGAACUGCAGCUCGAACUCUGCAAGUUGCAGUCAGAUCCGUAUUUUCAAGCAAAGCGCAAUGAGAGGGGAAUUUCAUUUUGGAGACUGCUACCAGAGGCACGUUUUCCGCUCCUCAGAGAUUUUGCUCUGUCAAUGGCCAGCAUGUUUGGGAGCACUUACAUUUGUGAGAGCAGCUUUUCAACAAUGAAGCACAUUAAGUCAAAAGAGAGGAACAGAUUCAUGGAUGAUACUCUUUUUCAUUUGAUGCGGAUUGGAUGCACAAAGAUUGACAUUGAUAUCCAGUCUAUUGUGCGCCAGCAGGCAAAACCACAAGUAUCUCAUUAAGUUGCACUUAAUGUUGGGCCGCUGUUUUUUUUUUUUUUAGUUUUGUGCCUCAUUGAAUGUGAGCCCUUUGCACUUUUUCUUUUAAAACAAACUUGUUUUUCGUUUAACAAGACGAGGAUUAUGUUAAAAAUGCAUUUCA